GACGAACGCUGGCGGCGUGCCUAAUACAUGCAAGUCGAACGCACGGACUAUAACCUUGCUUCCUUGACGAUAGCGGGUGACUGGCGAAUAAGUCGUUGAUGAGCUACUUAUAAGACUGGGAUAACUUCGUGAAACCUGAGCUAGUAACGGAUAAUCUUUUGAUCCUCAUUGUUCCAAAGUAAAAGACUGAAUUGCUGUCUUUUAUAGCUCGAUCGUCGACGCAUUAGCUAGUUGGUAAGGUAAGGGCUUACCAAGGCAACGAUGCAUAGCCGACCUCAGAGGGUGAUCGGCCAAACUGGAACUAGGACACGGUCCAGACUCCUACGGGAGGCAGCAGUAGGGAAUCUUCCGCAAUGGGCGAAAGCCUGACGGAGCAACGCCGCGUGAGUGAUGAAGGUCUUCGGAUCGUAAAACUCUGUUAUUAGGGAAGAACAUAUGUGUAAGUAACUGUGCACAUCUUGACGGUACCUAAUCAGAAAGCCACGGCUAACUACGUG
rnacentral:rRNA from 1 species